rnacentral:rRNA from 3 species
UAAGGUCACGGCGAGACGAGCCGUUUAUCAUUAUGAUAGGUGCCAAGUGGAAGUGCAGUGAUGUAUGCAGCUGAGGCAUCCUAACAGACCGAGAGAUUUGAAC